CUCCGCUUGGUGUAGUUGGUUGUAUGUUCUCACCCAUCCUUUAUCGCAUAUUUCACACCCACUAACAUGAUAUUAGUAUCACGUUCGACUGUAAUAGCACAUUGUUAUCGAAAGGUCCCUAGUUCGAUUCUGGGAGCGGAGA